UGUGGUGAUUUUGUGGUUGUUUUAUGUGUUUUUGGGGUCAGUUUCUGUCUUUUUGUGGUUGUUUUGUGUGUUUUUAUGGUCUGUUUCUGACCUACAGUGGUUGUUUGGUGUCUUUGAGAUGAUUUUCUGUCUUUUCGUGGUGAUUUUAUGUGUUUUUGUGGUUGUUUUGUGGUGAUUUUGUGGUUGUUUUAUGUGUUUUUGGGGUCAGUUUCUGUCUUUUUGUGGUUGUUUUGUGUGUUUUUAUGGUCUGUUUCUGACCUACAGUGGUUGUUUGGUGUCUUUGAGAUGAUUUUCUGUCUUUUCGUGGUGAUUUUAUGUGUUUUUGUGGUUGUUUUGUGGUAAUUUUGUGGUUGUUUUAUGUGUUUUUGGGGUCAGUUUCUGUCUUUUUGUGGUUGUUUUGUGUGUUUUUAUGGUCUGUUUCUGACCUACAGUGGUUGUUUGGUGUCUUUGAGAUCAUUUUCUGUCUUUUCAGCGGUGAUUUUGUGUGUUUUUGUGGUUGCUUUGUGGUGAUUUUGUGGUUGUUUUAUGUGUUUUUGGGGUCAGUUUCUGUCUUUUUGUGGUUGUUUUGUGUGUUUUUAUGGUCUGUUUCUGACCUACAGUGGUUGUUUGGUGUCUUUGAGAUCAUUUUCUGUCUUUUCAGCGGUGAUUUUGUGUGUUUUUGUGGUUGUUUUGUGGUAAUUUUGUGGUUGUUUUAUGUGUUUUUGGGGUCAGUUUCUGUCUUUUUGUGGUUGUUUUGUGUGUUUUUAUGGUCUGUUUCUGACCUACAGUGGUUGUUUGGUGUCUUUGAGAUCAUUUUCUGUCUUUUCAGCGGUGAUUUUGUGUGUUUUUGUGGACAUUGUCUGUCUUUUUGGGAUUACUUUGAUAAUUUCUACCUUUAUUUGAUGAUUUUGUGUUUUUCAUUGUAUGUUUUCCAACUCUUUGUGCUCUUUGUCUGUAUUUUGUGGUUGUUUUGUGUUUCUUUCGAUCAUUUUAGUCUUUUCGUUGUCGUUUUGUGUGUUUUUGUUAAGUGUUUGACGUGUUUGUUGCUGUCCUCCGUCCCUUUACUGCUCAGACUAGCGUCUCACAUGGACAUGGUUUCCCUGCUGAGGAAACCUGUCAGUGAACGUCUUCAUCCUGGAAACGUGGAGGUCAGCUGUGAUUUACGGCCAGCAGGGGGCAGACGCCGCCCUGCUGCGACCCGACAGCCCCACGACCGCUGAACGUCCCGUCGUAGUCCCCGUGUGGACUGCUUUACCCACAAGUCCCUGGGGUGGGGAUGAAAGCGAGGCGGCGGUGGCAGCAGUGUGACUGAAGGGUUAGCGGUCUGGAUGUGGUCGCUGCCGAGGCUCCGCUCUGGGACGACGACAGCCGGCCUUUCAUGUGGCGAAGAGUUUUUAUUACAGCCGAUAGCGAGAGAGAGAAGAGGAGAAACACGCUGAAGGAGAAGAGGCGGCUUCCUCGGGUUUCAGGUUAUUAAACGUGCUUUAAAGCUCAUGUGGGACUGUGAUUUAAUUAGAGUAAAUUUCAUAUCUACCUGCUGGGGAGGAUCAACUUAAUCAUCCAGUCCCCAAAGUCAACAAAGUCGGCCUCUCCACUUCCUGACACGACUUCUAAAAGUCAAACUCAGUCAGAUUCCAUCCAGAAGGAGAGGUCCACUUCUCAGCAAAUGUCCACAAAAUGUCAGAGAGAUGAAGAGCAGGAGACGUUCUGCUGCCUCGCUUUUCUUCACCGUGCUUCAUUAAAGUCCUGCAGCUGAAUGAAGGAGAAAGAAGUCAGAUAUGUCUUCUGUCAGUAGGACUCAGAAUGACACAAAAAUGACACGCAAAGUACAAAAACUGACACCGGCUUUCAGUUUUCGUACUUUGCAUGCUAAGAUGACAAAAAAUUAACACACAAAAUGUUAAAAUGAUGUGAAAAAGACCCAAAACUGACAGUAGAGAUGUUAAAAUAACACAAAAAUGACACAAAAAGUAUGAAAACUGACACUGAAGAUGCUAAAACUACACAAAAAUAACACACAAGAUGCUAAAAUGACACAAAAGGUCUAAUGUUGUGAACCAGGUCUAGGGUUGUGAACUAGGUCUAAUGUUGUGAACCAGAUCUACGGUUGUGAACCAGGUCUAAUGUUGUGAACCAGGUCUAGGGUUGUGAACCAGAUCUACGAUUGUGAACCAGGUCUAAUGUUGUGAACCAGGUCUAAUGUUGUGAACCAGGUCUAAUGUUGUGAACCAGGUCUAGGGUUGUGAACCAGGUCUAGGGUUGUGAACCAGGUCUAAUGUUGUGAACCAGGUCUAAUGUUGUGAACCAGGUCUAAUGUUGUGAACCAGGUCUAGGGUUGUGAACCAGGUCUAAUGUUGUGAACCAGGUCUAAUGUUGUGAACCAGGUCUAGGGUUGUGAACCAGGUCUAGGGUUGUGAACCAGGUCUAAUGUUGUGAACCAGGUCUAAUGUUGUGAACCAGGUCUAGGGUUGUGAACCAGGUCUAAUGUUGUGAACCAGGUCUAGGGUUGUGAACCAGGUCUAAUGUUGUGAACCAGGUCUAGGGUUGUGAACCAGGUCUAAUGUUGUGAACCAGGUCUAAUGUUGUGAACCAAAUCUACGGUUGUGAACCAGAUCUACGGUUGUGAACCAGAUCUACCGUUGUGAACCAGAUCUAAUGUUGUGAACCAGGUCUAAUGUUGUGAACCAGGUCUAGGGUUGUGAACCAGGUCUAAUGUUGUGAACCAGAUCUACGGUUGUGAACCAGAUCUACCGUUGUGAACCAGAUCUACGGUUGUGAACCCGGUCUAAUGUUGUGAACCAGGUCUAGGGUUGUGAACCAGGUCUAAUGUUGUGAACCCGGUCUAGGGUUGUGAACCAGGUCUAAUGUUGUGAACCAGGUCUAGGGUUGUGAACCAGGUCUAAUGUUGUGAACCAGGUCUACGGUUGUGAACCAGGUCUAAUGUUGUGAACCAGGUCUAGGGUUGUGAACCAGGUCUAAUGUUGUGAACCAGAUCUACGGUUGUGAACCAGAUCUACGGUUGUGAACCAGGUCUAAUGUUGUGAACCAGGUCUAGGGUUGUGAACCAGGUCUAAUGUUGUGAACCCGGUCUAGGGUUGUGAACCAGGUCUAAUGUUGUGAACCAGGUCUACGGUUGUGAACCAGGUCUAAUGUUGUGAACCAGGUCUAGGGUUGUGAACCAGGUCUAAUGUUGUGAACCAGGUCUACGGUUGUGAACCAGGUCUAAUGUUGUGAACCAGGUCUAGGGUUGUGAACCAGGUCUAAUGUUGUGAACCAGGUCUACGGUUGUGACUACGGUUGUGAACCAGGUCUAGGGUGUGUUUGACGUUUUCUUUCUGUUUCAGGGCUUCAGGACCAAAGACGGAUACAUCGUUGUUGCAGCCGGAAACGACAAGCAGUUUGUUAAAAUGUGUCAGGUUCUGGAGCUGGUGGAGCUCACAGAGGAGCCAAAAUACAAAACCAACAACCUGAGAGUCCAAAACCGUCAGGAGCUGCUGCAGACGCUGUCAGAGAGGCUGCUGCAGGAGAACACAGCUGAUUGGCUGAGGAGGUUCCAGGGGUCAGGUGUUCCGGUUGGACCAAUCAACAGCAUCCAGGAAGUGUUCGCCGAGCCGCAGAUGGAGUCCUGCAGCUCUGUGGAAAGAGCACUCGGGGAACUCUUCUGCUUUGUGGUUUCCAGCAGCAGGAUGAAGAUGAAGCCUCACCUCCAUCGGGCAGAUGAUGACUUCUUCACCUCCUCUGAACGCCUCCUCUCACUCGGCCCUCUUUGAAGCUGCCGUGGUGUCCGUGGAGUCGGCUAAGCAGCACCCAUGGGACCCGUCCGGCCGCUCUUACAUCGCUUUAACAACAUCAAGAGCAGCGGGACGCGUGUGGACACCGUGGACGCCGUGGACGUGGGCGAAGAUCUGAACCUGCUGCUCUGGGUUUGACCUCCGCUAUCAAAGAACACGGUGGAGUUUUCAUCCCUGUGAAGUGUCGGCGCUGUUUUCUUCUGCAUCGGACCUUCAGAUGUGUUAUGUAAAGCCGGAUGCCAACGGCCCCCAGUGGCUCGCUGUUUCAUGAUUCCAGCUCAUGACAUGAAUAAUGCUCUUCAUCAUGGUGUGUCAAUGAGCGUGUUUAAGAGGGAGGAAUAUUUAUUUCUGACUUUGAAAAGUCAAGCAGCGACGUGUCGCUCUAGAGGAGUCAGUUCUUCUUCAUACAGGCGCUAAAACCAGAUCAUGUGUAGCCUUUAAGGAGGCAGCUUCAGCGCUUCUGAGGGCAAACAAACCUCUGCUGCUGUAUUCCUGAUGAGCUAAACGUAAAGUUACAUCCACAAGCUGCUAUCUGCUGCAGGUGAUCCACUGCUGCACCUAAAUAUUAGCAACCAGAAGAGUUAAAAACCGAAAUAUUAAUGAAAACAGCAUCUGAAGUCAGGAUGUUUCCACCAUGAAAGUCAAAACACUGUGAAGCACAAAGGUGUGAAAAACCUGGAUAUUAAUGUCAAAAAGUAACAGAAAUCUGAUGUUUACACAGAAAAAAUGGCCAAAAACAUGGGACAAGGAGGAAGAGGAGGCGCGUGGCUGAAACCACAGAGCUGUUCUGUGAUCAGAGCCUCUUUGAUCAGUUAACUGCCUGCAGACUCUGGUUCUGCUGCUGCUGGAGGGGAACACAUGGUUCCCACACCAGGAACCAACCGAAACCUGAUCCCACUGGAGCUGUGGAACCCAGUCUGGAGCUCUCUGGAGUCUGAAACAAGUCUAUAGCAACACCAAGUCUAACACUAGUCCCAACACCUAGUCUAAAACAAACCCCAAAGUUAGAAAGUGGUCCCAUGCUAGACCAAGUUUAAAUGCUAAAGCUUGUUAAGAACGUCUCCAAACCAGUUCAGCAGUUGUCCAGUGACAGCCCGAAACCAGUCAAAAUAUCGAUUCAAAAUCUGCCCCGUGCAUUACCAGUCCAAAACCAAGCCCAAACCUCUCCUCACCCAAGUCAAAGAGAAGCUCCAGUUUUCUCCAAAACCAGUCCAAAUGCCAGGCCAAACCAUUCUAAAAGUAGGUUCCAAACCAGUCCAUUACUAGUCCAAAGCAGACUUUAAACCAUGUCAGAAACCAGACCAGUAGUGGUCCUAAAAAUUCCAGCUGGUAUAUUAAAGUUAGACAUAGCCAUGGUGAUAGCUGCAUCACCACCUGUCAAUCAUAAGGUAGCCCCGCCCUAAAACACACCCUGAAUUAUUGUCAACUUUCUUCUGAUUGGAACCAAAGUUUAUGAAGUGUUCAUCAGGAAGAUGUUCACUGAGGUACAGAAAAAGUGAGUUCAACGGAAACUCUGAAUGUUGUUAUUGUCACAGUGUCUUCUCUUUAACUUUGUGUUCCGCUGCGCAUGUUGAUAUGAAGACAUGAGAAUAAACUCUAGAUGUAAUUACAGUUUCAGUGAAACGUCAAUAAAUAGAGCUGGUGUGGCUGAAAAUGUGGAAGUGAGCAGCUGAUAGUGAAGAAAAUAUGAACAGAACAGUUGAUUUGUUGUGUGUCUGAUGAGACAAACAUGCUGGUUUUAGCGGCGCUAGGCUAACUGUUUCCCUCUGCUCCCAGUGUUUGUGCUAAGCUAGUCGAAGCGUUUCCAAACCACAGCUCAUGUUCACAGUUACUCCGCAUGAAAGACGGCAGGACGACAUCAGUCAUCCCUGUUUGAUCCUCCUCCGUUUGUUUUUACUGCUUUUUCCUCCAGUGAUUUGUCGGAUUAAUUUAGUUUCUGUUUUAUUGUUUGCGAGAAAACACAACAAACAAAAGAACUGGAAAAUAAAAUGAUGGUGUGAGAGAGAGAAAUGAGCAUAUGGAUGUAAUGAUGCCCACAUACCAAGCAGAUAGAGUUACACACACACACAUGCAUGCAAUCAUACUGUUACACUACACACACACACACACACACACACACACACACACACACACACACACACACUCACACACUCUGUAUAUCUGACUCUUGGAGCCGUUCAUUAUCCCCAGAAAAAUCAUUUCUCAUUUUUCAAAACUCCAGAUGAUGUUCAGCAAACUAGCCUUAGCAUUAGCACUGUAGCUAGCUGUUGUCUCAGUCAGAAGACGAUGUCCUUGGUGGUUCUGUAAAAUCUUGUUGGCUGUUGGCAUUACCACGGAGACAGUGGCAUCGUUAACCCAUGAACUUACAGCAACAUGAACGUUAGCCAACUGGAGCAAUAAGGUUUCGUUAGCUUUCUGUAAACGUUUACAGUUGGUCUCCGCUGCUAAUUUUAGCUCCUACAUUAGCAUCGCAUUAACCUGAGCAAAAUCAAUGCUAAUCUAAAUGACAUGACGUUAGCCGUUACAUUAGCCUAGCCAAGACUAAUUUACCCUCUACCUUUACAAGAAGUCCAGGACCUGCUGCUGAGGAACAUCAUGAUACUGCCUCCACCAUGCUUCACAUCAUGAUGCUGCCUCCACCGUGCUUCACAUCAUGAUGCUGCCUCCACCGUGCUUCACAUCAUGAUGCUGCCUCCACCGUGCUUCACAUCAUGAUGCUGCCUCCACCGUGCUUCACAUCAUGAUGCUGCCACCACCGUGCUUCACAUCAUGAUGCUGCCUCCACCGUGCUUCACAUCAUGAUGCUGCCUCCACCGUGCUUCACACCAUGAUGCUGCCUCCACCGUGCUUCACAUCAUGAUGCUGCCUCCACCGUGCUUCACACCAUGAUGCUGCCUCCACCGUGCUUCAUCAUGAUGCUGCCUCCACCGUGCUUCACAUCAUGAUGCUGCCUCCACCGUGCUUCACAUCAUGAUGCUGCCUCCACCGUGCUUCAUCAUGAUGCUGCCUCCACCGUGCUUCACAUCAUGAUGCUUCCUCCACCGUGCUUCAUCAUGAUGCUGCCUCCACCGUGCUUCAUCAUGAUGCUUCCUCCACCGUGCUUCACAUCAUGAUGCUUCCUCCACCGUGCUUCAUCAUGAUGCUGCCUCCACCGUGCUUCACAUCAUGAUGCUUCCUCCACCGUGCUUCAUCAUGAUGCUUCCUCCACCGUGCUUCAUCAUGAUGCUGCCUCCACCGUGCUUCACAUCAUGAUGCUGCCUCCACCGUGCUUCAUCAUGAUGCUGCCUCCACCGUGCUUCACAUCAUGAUGCUGCCUCCACCGUGCUUCAUCAUGAUGCCGCCUCCACCAUGCUUCACAUCAUGAUGCUGCCUCCACCGUGCUUCACAUCAUGAUGCUGCCUCCACCGUGCUUCAUCAUGAUGCUGCCUCCACCGUGCUUCACAUCAUGAUGCUGCCUCCACCGUGCUUCACAUCAUGAUGCUGCCACCACCGUGCUUCAUCAUGAUGCUGCCUCCACCGUGCUUCACAUCAUGAUGCUGCCUCCACCGUGCUUCAUCAUGAUGCUGCCUCCACCGUGCUUCAUCAUGAUGCUGCCUCCACCGUGCUUCACAUCAUGAUGCUGCCUCCACCAUGCUUCACAUCAUAAUGCUGCCACCACCGUGCUUCACAUCAUGACGCUGCCUCCACCAUGCUUCACAUCAUGAUGCUGCCUCCACCAUGCUUCACAGUGGGGAUGGUGUGUUUGUGAUGAUGUUCAGUGUUUGGUGUCCAUCAAACAUAUCAUCUAGUCUGAUGGACAUAAAGCUCCAUCCUGGUCUCCUCAGACCAAACAACCUUCUUCCAGGUGUCUUCAGAGUCUCCACAUGUCUUCUGGUGAACUCUAGUCCAGAUUUAAUUGGAGCUUUUUCCAUCAGAGUGUUUCUCUUUGUCUCCAUGAAGCUUUGACUGGUGAAGAACAGACAACAGUUGUUGGAUGAACAGUCUGAAGCUGAAACUCCUUCAGAGGAGUCAUAGAGUCUUGGUGGCCUCCCUCUCUAGUCUCUUUCUCCUUCAGAGGAGUCAUAGAGUCUUGGUGGCCUCCCUCUCUAGUCUCUCAGGUCUUGAGGACGUCCUGCUCUCGUCAGAUCUAUUCAUGUUCCAUCUUUCUUCCAUUUCUUAAUGAUGGAUUUAACUGGACUCCAGGAGAUCUUCAGGAACUUUAAAUGUUCUUGUAUCGUCCUGACUGAUGCUCUUCAACAACCUUUCCUCAGAGUUUCUUGGUUCUUCAGUCUUCAUGGUGUAGUUCUAUCCAGGAGUUCUGAUCCACCAGAGACUGGACCUUCCAGAUCUUCCGAUCACUGACCUCAGAUCAUCCAUUAAGGACUUCUAGAACCAACUGAGUUCCAUUAGAGUCAAUUUAAAGGGGUGAUCUUUGCAGUCACAUAUUUUAAAUGUUUUAGUUAAUUGACAUUCCGUGUAUAAAUCUGUUUUCACUUUGACACUAAAGAGUAUUUUUUGUGAAUUCUUGUCAGAACAGUCUUUCUGGUUCAUAGAAAGUCUACCUCCACCUCUGGUCAGCAGACUGUUGUGGUCCGGCUUCGUUUCGUCCUGAUCUCUGCUGACUGAGCAGCUGUGAGGCGUGUUGAAAAGCCGUGUGGCGGGAAGCAGCUGCUGAACACGUGAUCCGACCAAUGAAUCCUCACAUACAGAAUCACCUCCCGUCCAAUGAGCUGCUGCUGGGUCUUCAGCAUGACCCGAAAAAAACGCUUUAUAUCCACACACACACACACACACACACACACACACACACACACACACACACACACACACACACACACACACACACACACACACACACACACACACACACACACACACCAUCUCCAUCUCCAGGGGGGAAACUUUAAUAAAAGCCAAACUCUGAUCGAUGGCUUUAAUUUAAACAUCAAACUGUGCAGAAAGUCAACCACUGUUAAACCAAUUACCCUGUGUGUGUGUGUGUGUGUGUGUGUGUGCACGUUUUAUCAUUUCCAUUUGGCUUCACUGCUCUGUGUUUCUUUUAUUUUUAUAAAUGCUCUAUUUUUAGGGCCUCUGUUUAUGUCGACUGUGCAGCCAUUAAACUGGAAUCAUGUUUAGAACAUACAUGAUCAUCAUCGGCACACCCAGACUCUGUCCACUGAUCUGUCUUAAACAUGCAUCAUUCCUCACACGGAAAUUUUCCACAAGAUUAAGAAAUAAUUGUUCUUUUUUGUUUCGAUAACGUUAGCUACAUUAGUCUAACAUCGUGUUAGCGGCUACGUUAGCUUCAUCAGGCUAACAUUAGCCAUUCCAGUGGUUUCAGUAUGAUCACGUCAUCUGUGUUGUUAGCUUAAACAAGCUAAAGCUAGCUGCUACAUCUGUCCAAACAAGAUGUUAGCUUAAACAGGAUCAUGCUAGGUGCUUUGUCCAUCGAAACAAGAUUUUAGCUAGAGCAUUAAUCUAAACAAGAGAGUGGUAACCCCUGUUAGAAAAUGUAUCAUUUUGAGUCAUUUUGUAUAAAUUUUUGUCUUUUUUGGAUCAAUUUAUAGAGAUUUGUAUCAUUCUUGAGUCAUCUUGUACAUUUCUUUUGUCAUUUUGAAUCGUUUUGUGCAGAUUUUGUCUUUUUAAAAUAGUUUUGUACAUUUUUUUGUCAUUUUGUACAGAUUUUUGUCAGUUGUGAGUCAUUUUGUGCAGAUUUUUAUGCCAUUUUUGAGUUAUUUUCUAAGGAUUUUUAUGCCAUUUUUGAGUCAUUUUGGACGUUUGUCUCUAAUUUUUGUCAUUUUUACAUUUUUUGUCUUUUUGAAUCAUUUUGUGUAAAUGUUUCUUUUCAAAAUUGUACAUUUUUUGUCAAUUUGUGCAGUUUUUUUUAUCAUUUGUGAGUCAUUUUCUACUGACUUUUGUCUUUUUUGAGUCAUUUUGUGCAGAUUUUUGUCACUUUGUGCAGAUUUUCAUCAUUUUUCAGUCAUUUUGUGCAGAUUUUGUCACUUUGUGCAGAUUUUCAUCAUUUUUCAGUCAUUUUGUGCAGGUUUUUGUCCGUUUUGGAUGGUUCUGGAUGGAGUGGAUUGUGGACAGUUGAGCAGAUGUUUAGCUCACAGCGCUGUAAAAAUGAGAAGCUGAAUCAGAUCCAGCACCAGUGGGAUUUUUCAUUUAUCUGCGGCAUCACUUCCUGUUUUUUUAGCAGCCUUUGAGAAGCUUCAGGUCUGUGAGUCCUGAACGGUCAGGUCGACCUGCAGCAGUAAAUCAGAGCUGUUCCUCCGUCUCUUCCUCCGGCUUCAGUCAUCAUCGUCUCAUUUAUUUCUGAAAAGGCUUCAGUGCUUCUCGUGAUCCGGAGCUAAACUCCAUCAUUUGGACACUUUCUACCGUCCAGCUCAGAUGACGUCUUUCUGGACGAGUUUGGAGUAAUUUUGGACAAAUGUUCACUUCACAUAUUGAGACAUUCAGGGAUAAAUUCUGCUCAUUUUGGACAGAUUUAAAUACAUUUAGGACAUUUUUUCACACAUUUUGGGCAAAUCCUCUGUUGUUUUGGUCAUUUCUUACUAAUUAAAUCACUCUGGACACAUUUUUUGGUUAUUCUGGACAAAUAUUCAGACAUUUGAGCGGACGUGGAGGUUAAGACGGUUUGUGUGUUUGCAGGUGAAACACAACGGACUCAUCCAGGAGAUGCAGCAUCCAGCAGCCGGACUCAUCGCUGUACCAGGUCUCUGCCUCAUGGACACACACCUACACACACCUACACACACCUACACACACUCCUUUUCGUAGAUUUCCCUGCAGAUACACAAUCGAAUCUCCGUCAUUAAAAGCAGCAGAUCCUGGGCCGCUCUGGGGAAUCUCGGCUCAGUUGGUUUGAUGGAUCUCAGCGAGUUUCCACCGAGCGGAAGCUGUUUUUCCAGUAAUUUGUCUUCUAACCUGAGUGUGUGUCCGCGGCCGGCAGGAAGACAUUCAUAACCGGCAGAGGCAGCUCGCUGUGUGUCGCUGUGCAGAGUGUGUCUGUUCACGCCGAGAGAAGCAGCGUCGCACGGAAACAACAAAAUGGCCAAAAUGACACCCAGAAGGAUACGAAAACCAACAAAACGAGACACAAAACUGUCACAAAAACACAUAAACAACUAAAAUGAGUCGCAAAAAUGAGACAUAAAAGAGACAAAACCAAGAAGAUGAGACACAAAACGACAACAGAGAGACAUAAAACGUGAAAAAUUACAGCAAUGUGAGAAGAAACAACAAAAACGAGACACAAAAUGACUACAGAGACAUAAAAUUGUCCCAAAGACACAAAAAAACUGUGAAACAAAACACAAAAUGCCAAAAACAACACCAACAUAAGUAAAAACAAAACAAGACACAAAAGGAUGCAAAAAACAGCAAAACAAGACACAAAACUACAGCACAGAGACACAAACAAAGAUACACAAAAAAACAAAAAUGAGACACAGAAUUGUCAAAUUGUCCCAAAAAGACACAAAACCAAACAAAUAAGACACGAAACACCGAAAUGAGGAUCAAAAACAGAAUCAUGACACAAAAGAUCAUUAAACAACUAAAACGAGAAACAAACCUCUAGAAAGAAGAAGAAAGAGAGACACUGUCCCAGAGAGACACAUCACAACACAAAUAUGACACAAAACAACAAAACAAGAUAUAAAAGGACAAACAAAACAAGAAAACAGCUAAACGGGGACACAAACAAGACAGAAGACAACAACCACAAGAGACACAAAAGGACAAAAAUAAAAGACUGUCCUCACCCUGGACAGGUGAGCAGCAGCAGGUUUACACAAGUAACACACACACACAACACACACACACACACACACACACACACACACACACACACACACACUCAUACACGUGUGUGACUCUAUUCACAGCCUUAACAAUCUCCUUUUAUUUCUCUGCUCUCUCCUCUGUCCAUCACUGUUUAGUAAACACCAGACAAGAGUGUGUGUUUGUGUGUCAGUGUGUGUGUGCAUGCACGUGUGCGUGUGUGCACGUUUCAUGUGUGUGUGUUGUUUGUACCUCGGAGGUUAAUUGAGUGUGAAAACGUGCAGCUCAGAACAUUCAUUGGCCGACCUGUUGAUGGCAUUCCUGUGUGUGUGUGUGUGUGUGUGUGUGCGCGUGUGUGUGAGAGCCAGGAAAUAACUGAGAACAACAGUAACAGAAGUGUGUGUCCAUUAAUAGAGGCCACUGCUGACGUUACAUAAUUAAAAUAACUAAAACGUGAUGAAGGCUCUGAAUGAAAGAAACUAUUUGUCCUGCAGGUGAUGCUUGACACAACCACAACUCCAAGUAACUAACUAACCAGGUCUACCACUAACUAACUAACUAACUAACUAGCUAACUAACUAACUAACUAACUAACUAAUAACUAACUAACCAACCAGGUCUACCAGUAACUAACUAACCACAACAACAACUAACUAACCAGGUCUACCACUAACUAACUAACUAAUAACUAACUAACUAACUAACCAGAUGUACCAGUAACUAACUAACUGACUAACUAACUAACUAACUAACUAACUAACUAACUAACUAACCAACCAGGUCUACCACUAACUAACUAACUAACCAGGUCUACCACUAACUAACUAACUAACCAGGUUUACAAGUAACUAACUAACCACAACAACAACAACUAACUAACCAGGUCUCCCAGUAUCUAACUAACUAACCAGGCCUACCACUAACUAACUAACUAACUAACUAACUAACUAACUAACUAACUAACUAACUAACUAACCAGGUCUACAACUAACUAACUAACUAACUAACUAACCAGGUCUACCACUAACUAACUAACUAACUAACUAACCAGGUCUACAAGUAACUAACUAACCACAACAACAACAACAACUAACUAACCAGGUCUCCCAGUAUCUAACUAACUAACCAGGCCUACCACUAACUAACUAACUAACUAACUAACUAACUAACCAGGUCUACAACUAACUAACUAACUAACUAACCAGGUCUACCACUAACUAACUAACUAACUAACUAACUAACCAGGUCUACAAGUAACUAACUAACCACAACAACAACAACAACUAACUAACCAGGUCUCCCAGUAUCUAACUAACUAACCAGGCCUACCACUAACUAACUAACUAACUAACUAACUAACUAACCAGGUCUACCACUAACUAACUAACUAACUAACCAGGUCUACAAGUAACUAACUAACCACAACAACAACAACUAACUAACCAGGUCUCCCAGUAUCUAACUAACUAACCAGGCCUACCACUAACUAACUAACUAACUAACUAACUAACUAACUAACUAACUAACCAGGUCUACAACUAACUAACUAACUAACUAACUAACUAACUAACUCACUAACUAACUAACUAACCAGGUCUACCACUAACUAACUAACUAACUAACCAGGUCUACAAGUAACUAACUAACCACAACAACAACAACAACAACAACUAACUAACCAGGUCUCCCAGUAUCUAACUAACUAACCAGGCCUACCACUAACUAACUCACUAACUCACUAACUAACUAACUAACCAGGUCUACCACUAACUAACUAACUAACUAACUAACUAACUAACUAACUAACUAACUAGUAGCAACUAAAUGGAGAGUGUCAGAAAGAUCUAACCCACUCUUUGUUUGUUUGUUUGUUUGUUUUCAGGGCCAGCUGUUCGCUUCAGCAGCUUCUCUCCCAGCGGGCCGACUCCUCCUCCUCUGAUUGGCCAGCACACCGUGCAGGUGCUGCGAGACGCCUUGUCCUACAGUGAUGAUGUCAUCAGAGCGCUGCUGGAGUCGGGGGCGGUGGCCCAGAACGACGUGGUCUGAUUGGCUUUCAGGAGACAAUGAAGGGAGGCCGGUUGAUUCCAGCCGACGGAUCAAUGCAGCUGAACCGCUAAUCAAAGACGGAGCCGAUCAGUCGGUUUGAUUAACGAGACUGAAGCCCAAACACAGCCGUUUGAAUCAGUGCUGGGUAUUAGAGCUUCGAGACACACUGAACAUGUCAUGAAGGUUUAUCAGAAAGUUCUGAGGAUGUUCCUGUAAAACCAGAAGCUCGUCUCCGUCCAUAAUGAGACGCUGCUCUGCUCCCACAGCUCUGCAACACUCCAUCUGAAGAUACAUGAGGCUGGAAACAGACAUGGAAAGGGACUGAGAACUGACCAAAAUACCAAAACUCCUUUAAACUGACUCAGUUAUCCACUCACACAUCUUCUACAUGCCUACAUCUGAUUCAACAUUUGUCCAAAAUGAAAAAACUCAUCAAAAAUAACCUCUCAUUGUCCAAAAUAAUAAAUAAAAAAUGUCUACAUCUGAUUCAACAUUUGUCCAAAAUCAAAGAUUUUUUUUUAAAUUCAACAUAAAUGAAUUACAAUUUGUCCAAAAUAACAAAAACUUGUUCUAAAUGCCCCUACAUCUGAUAUGAGUUUAAAAAUUGCUGAAAAAUAACUAAUAAUUGUCCAAAAAUAAUAGUUUGUCCAAAAUAAAAACAAAUGAAAAAUAACUUUAAAUUGUCCAAAAUUACUUAGAAUCUGUCCAAUGUAUCAAAAAUGUGUUGGGAAUGAGUCUACAUCUGUCAAAUGAGUCAACGUUUGUCCAAAACAAAAUGAAAAAUCUUCAAAACUUCCAAAGUUUGUCCAAAUGGCUCAAGAAAUGUCCAACAUCAUUUAAAAUUUGUUCAAAAUGAUUCAAAAUUUGCCCACACUUAAUCAGAAUUUGUCCAAAAUAACAAAGUUUGUCCAAAAUGAAAAAAGAAUCAUUAAAAAUCACUUAGAAUUGUCCAAAAUGACUUGAAAUUUUUCAACAAAAAUAACGUGUUUAAAAUGAAUCUUCGUCUGUCAAAUGAUUCAACAUUUUUCCAAAAAUAGGAAAAGAAAUAUUUGAAAAUGACUUAUAACCAAAACUUGUCUAAACUGACUCAUGUUUCAGAAAACUCAAAAUGAUCUAACAUCUGUCUACACUCCAUCAGAAUUCAUCCACAAUAAUAAAGUUUGUCCAAAACGAAAAUGAAAAUCAUCAAAAUAACUUAAAAUUGUCCAAAAUGACUCAAAAUUUGUCCAGAAUCAUGUAAAACUUGUGCAACUUAUUGCAUUGUUGGUCCGGGAACUUUCUGAUAAGCUCUCAUACUUCACGGUGUCAGAAAGUUUCACUCCUCUGAACUCAGGCAGAAGAAAAAUGACUGAAAAAUGUGCAUUUCAGGCUGUGAAUGACUGAAACAAUGAAGAAGUUUGUUGAUCUGCAGCUGAAAUGAAGCUAAAUGAUGCCUGAAGCGCUCCUCUCAGGUUAAACUGUAAAUUACACUCCAGAUCAGCACUUUAUGGGAUGAAAAUAAAACACUUGAAUCGA